GCCUCCUUAUUUUCUCAACCUAAAUGAUGCAUCAGACAUGUCACUUCAAGCCCUGAGCAUGCUGAGUACCAUGAAAGAAACCGCAUGUCUCAGUAGAAAGUUGGGAGAACCUGAGCCUGAAGUUGGGCGAGACGUGGAGCCUGAAUGUCUUCAUUUGUUAAUUGGGGAUAAAAGUACCAACACCAGAGACUCAUUGUGAGUGUUCUUUGAGAUCAGACGUAAGUUCUUAGCACAAGAUCAGUGGUCAAUCACAUUAAUAAAGCAUCAGGACAAAAGCUGGUUAUUUUAAUUCUCUGCAGUUCAAAGCCAGAAUUAGGACAAGACUGCCUUAGGAGAGUUAAAGGGGCAACAGACAAGCUGUAGGAUUCUAAAAUGGCUCUUUAAAGAGAUCAGUAGUGCCCAGGAUAGAAAGAAAAAAAAUGCUGCUAAGACAGAUGAAAUCCCUCUGCAGAGCUCUGUCCCCAGGAGGUGGGAUGGCCACUGCCCCAGCAGGCAGCGUGAGCUAGACGGUCAGAGUCCAAUUCCCACUAUGUCUGCCAGGCAAAUACUUGCCCAAGGACUGCUUAAAAAUAGCAUCAGACGCCACCCACCACCGAAGGUCAGUUUCCAGGAAGGUAGGGUGAGCGGGUGGAAGGUACUGCGCAAGAGGCUCCACACCUGCCCCCGUGGACCCAGAGCUUAAUUUUCAUUUGGUGAUUCCAAUAUGCUGGCAAGGUGAAGAAGCUAGCUGAUCAGCUACAAACAAGGCCCCUGAUUCUAUUCUCACUUAGCACAACCUGAAGAGCAGCUUUUCACUGGAGAAAAGCCUUCUACUAUAUAAACAUCCUUGAAAAUAUAGUCCAGAAGAAAAGACAGUCAUUGGCUCUGCUCCCAAGAUGUGUUGAAAUAGGGGAGAACCAAGGAGAAUUGUCUUACAAUGGAUACAGUAUACAGAAAUGUCUUGCAGAAAUAGAAAUAUCCGCCUAACAAAGAGGAAGGGAUCGACGGUGCCUGUUUUCCUCUAGUUGUUGAAAAUGGAUGAAGGUUUUUAUUGGGCUAUGUGGAACCCUCUUCCUGACAGAUGGAACCAAGUAAAUUCUUAAAAGUGGCAACGCUGAGAUGAAGCUUAUGAAUAUUUUCAAGGCUUUUGAAAAAACACAGGGAACUUUCCUCCUGAAAGCUUGUACCAACACCUACACUGCAGCGUAUGAGAAUACCUGUCCCACCAUGCCUUUACUGUCCAUGUGCUGCUAUCAAUACAUAUCAAUUAGGAAAAAUGGGUGAUUCCCUAGGGACAACUCAGACCAAGAGAAAGGAAUUAGGUUCCAGCUCUGAGAUUUAGCUUAAAGAGGAAAAAAGCAAAGCAACAAAGAACAAAAUUCUUAUCCCCUUGGGCUGCCCCAAAGGAAUUGGACCAGAAGUCCAUACAGGGGGCAUCUAUUUGAAGCCUCCUGGGUCAUUAUUUCACAAAUCUUCCUUUGCACAAUGGACUUUUUUCUCCUCUUACUCGCAUGCUCAUAAACUCUUAAAUUACAUUUACCUUUACUGGGAUAUAAAGGUCAGAUGUAAUUUACCUAAUAGAACCAACUGAUGGAAAUCUAUACAGAGGAAGAGAUAGGCUCCAAAAGCUAAGAACAUUUUGUCCCUGCCUCUGUGCUGCUCUCAGCAUGUUUUAAAUAUGACCCAGCAUUUGUUAACGGAUACCACAUGUCACCAUCUUUAAAUGACCUUAUCCAUCUUAUCACCACAAUUUCAAACUAAGAAAAAAAACCUCCAUCACCAAAUGAUCCUGAAUGGUCCUGUGUGUCAUGUCAGCCAUCAGCAGCGUUGACGUGGUCAGUAAUUCUUGUAGAUAAUUUAUCAUU
rnacentral:lncRNA from 1 species